rnacentral:rRNA from 1 species
GACGAACGCUGGCGGCGUGCUUAACACAUGCAAGUCGAACGGAAAGGCCCUGCUUGCAGGGUACUCGAGUGGCGAACGGGUGAGUAACACGUGGGUGAUCUGCCCUGCACUUCGGGAUAAGCCUGGGAAACUGGGUCUAAUACCGGAUAGGAGCCAUUUUUAGUGUGAUGGUUGGAAAGUUUUUUUCGGUGUAGGAUGAGCUCGCGGCCUAUCAGCUUGUUGGUGGGGUAAUGGCCUACCAAGGCGGCGACGGGUAGCCGGCCUGAGAGGGUGGACGGCCACCGUGGGGGGGUGGCGGGGCCGAGGGUGCGGGGGGAGCGGGAGGGGGGGAAUAUGGCACGAGGGGGGGGAGCGUGGUGCGGAGGCGCCGGGGGGGGGUGGGUGGCCGUGGUGUUGUGCCUGCAUGUCGGUGGGGAUUAGGCUUUUGGGGUACGUACGUAGAAAAGGGGCAACGGAUACCUAGGGGCCGGCAGCCGCGGUACAUUCGGAAGAGCAACCGUCUGAGC